rnacentral:rRNA from 1 species
UGGGGAAUAUUGGACAAUGGGCGAAAGCCUGAUCCAGCCAUGCCGCGUGUGUGAAGAAGGUCUUCGGAUUGUAAAGCACCUUAAGUUGGGAGGAAGGGCAUUAACCUAAUACGUUAGUGUUUUGACGUUACCGACAGAAUAAGCACCGGCUAACUCUGUGCCAGCAGCCGCGGUAAUACAGAGGGUGCAAGCGUUAAUCGGAAUUACUGGGCGUAAAGCGCGCGUAGGUGGUUUGUUAAGUUGGAUGUGAAAUCCCCGGGCUCAACCUGGGAACUGCAUUCAAAACUGACUGACUAGAGUAUGGUAGAGGGUGGUGGAAUUUCCUGUGUAGCGGUGAAAUGCGUAGAUAUAGGAAGGAACACCAGUGGCGAAGGCGACCACCUGGACUAAUACUGACACUGAGGUGCGAAAGCGUGGGGAGCAAACA